rnacentral:antisense_RNA from 1 species
CAAUGUUGGGGUCAGAGAGUGUAGAGAGUGGUGUGGGGAGAGUGCAGGCUGAAGAGUUACCUAAGGUCAAAAUCCUGACCUAUGAGCCAAGCCAUCGAUUUGGGAUUUCUACUGAGGACACUGGAAGUCACUAAGAGCAUCUGAAUGGAUGACAACUGGGCGCUGUCAAUGCCUGCUUGCUGAUGGUUACGAUGAUCAUAGCAGUGUACAUUUUGUAUGCACGAAGCCUGCGACUAAAUAAACGUGUGGGGAAAUAUUUGUAAGGAAAUAAGCUAUUAAGAAAAUAAGCUAAAAUCACA